UCUAAUUCAAAAAACAAACUUGUUUCAUCUUUCUGGUAAUGUGUAAAGAAAAAGAUGCACAUCAAACAUUCAAGAGGAUGAUGCAUUACACAGGCCAUUGCAGAUAACAAGAUUUAUAGACCUUCAGAACAUACAAAGAACAGAACUUGAUCUUAUGCUCGAAGAGACAUGUUUGAGGUUCGAUUAAUUCAAAUCUUGGAGCAGAAAACUUGUAUAUGUUCGCCUAAGAUAGCAUUUGCUAAAUGCUGUCUCACCGAAUGGUGUUGUUCUAAGUUCUCGCCACUCAAAGCCAUAUACGAAUGGCAUAAAGACCAUUUUAACAACUGCACAGAAAGACUCUUAACGCAAUGUGGUUGGUUAAUCACUCUGUUUUUCAUAUGAACCUGCGUUAGAUUAUUAGAAUCAAUCUCUUGGGAGUAGGCCCUUUGUAGUUUUUUAAGGACAAACGAAGAAAUCGUGGUGUCAUAUUCGUACCUUCUCCAACUUCUCGAACGAAUCAGCUCGGAGAGGAACCCAUCCAUGUACGGCCUCACCGGCAGCACUACUAAGCCAAGAGGGCCAGCCGGCGGCAAUCUGCUCAGCUUCAACGUAGCGUUGAGAAAACCCUAAUCUGAAAGAACCCCCCUUGCCUCCUUUAGAUUUCUUAAUAUCUCGACUUCGAUCCUCCGAUUUGUCCUCCCCUUUCUUCUCAUAAUCAAGCGUCGCCACGGAAUGAGCUUUGGAUAAAGGCGGCAGGGUCACGACAGAACCAUUCUCGGCGGCAACGGUGGCGGUUGUAGUGGUGGUCGGUUUAUUGGGUUUGGUCCGAUGAUGAUGAUGGUUAUAAACAGGUGAUGCCGCCGCCUUAGCUACGUGCUUGGAGCUAAUGCAACCCAUGAACCACCAAAUCCCGACAGCAUCGAUCGGAGAAACGACACAAGGGCGAUCAAGAUCAACCCUGAUCAGGAAAUGGGCUGCUCGGCACAAAGCGGAAGAGGGGGGGAUCGAACCCCUACAUCCAACGGCAACUCAAAAGGGUCUGCUGGAUUAUCUGAGGAUGUAAAAAAAGAAGAGAAAAUGGAUUGAACCCAUCUGAAAUGAGAGCCAUUUUUGGGUUUAACUUGUUGGCUGGCAACACAAUGACCUCGUGUUCUUCAUACUGCGAGAUCUGCAGUAUGAAGAAUUGGCCAAAUAGUUUCUUUUUUUUUUGUAAGAAACGGUCCGAAAGCAGAGGAACGAAAAGAAAGAGAAACAUUGUGGGUCCUAACUGCCUUCUUCUUCCUUUUCUCUGCUUUUUUUGUUAUCUAUACCGUUUUUAAUUUCAUCUUUUCUUUUUCUCUC